rnacentral:rRNA from 1 species
AAUCAACGCUGGCGGCGUGCCUCAGACAUGCAAGUCGAACGCGAAAGUUCCCUUCGGGGGAUGAGUAGAGUGGCGCACGGGUGAGUAACACGUAGGUAAUCUACCUUUGGAUGGGGAAUAACAACCGGAAACGGUUGCUAAUACCGCAUAAUGCAGCGGCACCUAAUGGUGACAGUUGUUAAAGCGGGGGAUCGGAAGACCUCGCGUCUGAAGAGGAGCCUGCGGCGGAUUAGCAGUUGGUAAGGUAACGGCUUACCAAGGCGACGAUCCGUAGCCGGCCUGAGAGGGCGGUCGGCCACACUGACACUGACAUACGGGUCAGACUCCUACGGGAGGCAGCAGUCGGGAAUUUGGGCAAUGGGCGAAAGCCUGACCCAGCAACGCCGCGUGAAGGAUGAAAUCCCUCGGG